UGGGGAAUAUUGCACAAUGGGCGCAAGCCUGAUGCAGCAACGCCGCGUGAGGGACGAAGGCCUUCGGGUUGUAAACCUCUUUUAGCAGGGAAGAAGCGAAAGUGACGGUACCUGCAGAAAAAGCACCGGCUAACUACGUGCCAGCAGCCGCGGUAAUACGUAGGGUGCAAGCGUUGUCCGGAAUUAUUGGGCGUAAAGAGCUCGUAGGCGGUUUGUCGCGUCUGCUGUGAAAAUCCGAGGCUCAACCUCGGACCUGCAGUGGGUACGGGCAAGCUAGAGUGCGGUAGGGGAGAUCGGAAUUCCUGGUGUAGCGGUGGAAUGCGCAGAUAUCAGGAGGAACACCAAUGGCGAAGGCAGAUCUCUGGGCCGUAACUGACGCUGAGGAGCGAAAGCGUGGGGAGCGAACAGG
rnacentral:rRNA from 1 species